GCAUAACAAUACAGUUCAUUAAGCAAUUUUGUUAACUAUGUAUCUCACAAUUCAUUUUUCAUUGUUUAUGCUGUUUUAAGCAGUUUCGAUGAAUCAAGUAGGAGGUAGCAGGACAUUGUGCGAAGCUUGAGUGGGAGAAAAGGGCACAGCCACAAAGGGAAGGAAAAUGCAAAAAAUCAAAUUUACUAGAAUAGGAAAGUGGUUCUCGGAAAGUGUGUCACCGGCAUAGAUUCAUAAUCAAGAGCGGCCGUCCGUACGGCCUAACUUACGGCCAGCCAUGCGUUAGCCGGGUCCUUUAGACUAUAUGUCACCGUACUUAU
rnacentral:lncRNA from 1 species